ensembl:misc_RNA Metazoa_SRP Metazoan signal recognition particle RNA
GCUGGGUGUGGUGGCUUACACCUGUAAUCCCGGCACUUUGGGAGGCUGAGGCAGGUGGAUCACCUGAGGUCAGGAGUUCGAGACCAGCCUGACCAACAUGGAGAAAUCCUGUCUCUA